UACGGAGGGUGCAAGCGUUGUCCGGAUUUAUUGGGUUUAAAGGGUGCGUAGGCGGUUUAUUAAGUCAGUGGUGAAAGACGGUCGCUCAACGAUUGCAGUGCCAUUGAUACUGGUAGACUUGAGUGAGAUUGAGGUAGCUGGAAUGGAUAGUGUAGCGGUGAAAUGCAUAGAUAUUAUCCAGAACACCAAUUGCGUAGGCAAGUUACUAAGUCUCAACUGACGCUGAGGCACGAAAGCUAGGGGAGCGAAUGGG
rnacentral:rRNA from 1 species